UGUAGCUCAGUGGGUAGAGCACUUGCCUGGCCUGCAUGAAGCCCUGGGUUCCAUCCCCAGCA
rnacentral:tRNA from 1 species